AACCUGCCCAAGAGAUCGGGAUAACACCUGGAAACAGAUGCUAAUACCGGAUAACAACAGAUGAUGCCUAUCAACUGUUUAAAAGAUGGUUCUGCUAUCACUCUUGGAUGGACCUGCGGUGCAUUAGCUAGUUGGUAGGGUAACGGCCUACCAAGGCGAUGAUGCAUAGCCGAGUUGAGAGACUGAUCGGCCACAUUGGGACUGAGACACGGCCCAAACUCCUACGGGGAGGCAGCAUA
rnacentral:rRNA from 1 species